rnacentral:tRNA from 1 species
GCGAGGGUAAUUCAGUGGAAGAAUGCGUGCUUGCCAAGCACGUCGUCGCGGGUUCGAGCCCCGUCCCUCGCUCCA